GGCCGGAUUCGUCGGCCGGUUACGUCACAGCGCCGCGACUAGGCCUGUCCCAAUUCGAAGACUCCUUCAAAUGCGGUCGACGAAUGCGGCCUUCUUUUCACCUGAAUGAAGGAUGGGUCGGGUGUAUCCUUCAACAGGUAGCAUUUCCCAAGAUGCCUUGCGGGCCGGCCGGCAGAAAAACUUAAAAACAAUGGCGGACAGCGAAGCGGGAGCUGUCGGAGAGGAUUGCGCAUAUAAAUGAACAAAAGAGAAAACCAGGGAAUUUAUUAAGCUUAGGGCGGAGAUGGACCACAUGAUCACCGGAGCAAAGUAUUCGGCGGCUGUGGCAUGGAGACUAUUCUGGAGAAAAUGGGCAUCCAGGGGAAGGUGCCAGCGAUGACAAGCUUCUGGAGCUGAUCAGGGAGGACAUGAGGCUGCAGAUGGAGGCAGAGCAGCAGAGGGCACAGGAGAGAAGGGAGAACUUUGACAGCUUUUUACUUUGCUAGAAAAAAAUGGUUAAUAAAGAUUAAACAUGUACAUAUAAAAGAAAUAUCUAAAUAAAAUCAGUUCUGCAUUAAACUC